AUACUUACCUGGACGGGGUCAAUGGGCGAAAUCAAUAAGACCCAUGGCCUAGGUUAGUGACCUCUAUUGCACUGAGGAGGGGUGCUCGCUUAAGGUCUACCCAAGCGGUGGAGUCUACGUCAUAAUUUGUGGUAGCGGUGGCCUGCAUUCGCGCAGCCCCUCC